GCGGAUGUGGCGGAAUUGGCAGACGCAGCAGACUCAAAAUCUGCCGGUGGCGACACCGUGGGGGUUCGACUCCCUUCAUCCGCA
rnacentral:tRNA from 2 species